GACGAACGCUGGCGGCGUGCUUAACACAUGCCAGUCGAACGGAAAGGCCCUGCUUUUGUGGGGUGCUCGAGUGGCGAACGGGUGAGUAACACGUGAGUAACCUGCCCUUGACUUUGGGAUAACUUCAGGAAACUGGGGCUAAUACCGGAUAGGAGCUCCUGCUGCAUGGUGGGGGUUGGAAAGUUUCGGCGGUUGGGGAUGGACUCGCGGCUUAUCAGCUUGUUGGUGGGGUAGUGGCUUACCAAGGCUUUGACGGGUAGCCGGCCUGAGAGGGUGACCGGCCACAUUGCGACUGAGAUACGGCCCAGACUCCUACGGGAGGCAGCAGUGGGGAAUCUUGCACAAUGGGCGGAAGCCUGAUGCAGCAACGCCGCGUGCGUGAUGACGGCCUUCGGGUUGUAAACCGCUUUCGCCUGUGACGAAGCGUGAGUGACGGUAAUGGGUAAAGAAGCACCGGCUAACUACGUG
rnacentral:rRNA from 1 species